UGACCGCUGGCGGCGUGCCUACUACAUGCAAGUCGAGCGAACAGAUGAGGAGCUUGCUCCUCUGACGUUAGCGGCGGACGGGUGAGUAACACGUGGAUAACCUACCUAUAAGACUGGGAUAACUUCGGGAAACCGGAGCUAAUACCGGAUAAUAUAUUGAACCGCAUGGUUCAAUAGUGAAAGACGGUUUUGCUGUCACUUAUAGAUGGAUCCGCGCCGCAUUAGCUAGUUGGUAAGGUAACGGCUUACCCAGGCAACGAUGCGUAGCCGACCUGAGAGGGGGAUCGGCCACACUGGAACUGAGCCACGGUCCAGACUCCUACGGGAGGCAGCAGUAGGGAAUCUUCCGCAAUGGGCGGAAGCCUGACGGAGCAACGCCGCGUGAGUGAUGAAGGUCUUCGGAUCGUAAAACUCUGUUAUUAGGGAAGAACAAAUGUGUAAGUAACUAUGCACGUCUUGACGGUACCUAAUCAGAAAGCCACGGCUAACUACGUG
rnacentral:rRNA from 1 species